rfam:Pteropus alecto contig98567, whole genome shotgun sequence.
GUGCUCACAUCAGCAGCACCUAUACUAAAAUUGGAAUAAUACAGAAAAUAUCAGCAUGGCCCCUGCACAAGGAUGACAUGCAAAUUCUUGAAGUGUUCUUUAUUUUU